GCUAAACAGAGCAGCUCAUGUAAUCCUUAUAGCAGCUGUAGGAGGCAGGCGUUAUUGGGAUUAUCCUGUUAUGCGAAUGAAAGGAAGGCUCAGAGAUGUCUAAUUAUUACUCAGGAUCGCACGACGAGGAGCAGGAGAGCCAGAUCUGAAAGCCCAGGCCCAUAGGACUACCCGCUGUGUAGGUAACCUUUGCAUAACCGCCUGGGCCCCCAGACCCCUCACCCUGCCACCUUCUUGUCACGCCUUCUCUCUCUGUGGCCUUUUUCAAUCCAGAUUGCGGUGUGCUGGAAUUCCACCCUCCUUGCCCAAAACUCACCACGCUUUCUGUAAUUAAAAUUUAGUCCAUUUGAACAAAGCCCGGAACUUGACGAUUCUGCCUAGCUUUCUCUGUCACCAUGGCAACCAGAUUCUUGGCUGAAACUGGAUCCCUGGAGUAGAGACGGGGUUUCACCACGUUGGCCAGGAUGGUCUCGAUCUCUUGACUUUGUGAUCUGCCUGUAUCGGCCUCCCAAGAAGCACUGAGUUUUAAAAAGCUGCAAAGCAUCUCUUGUAAGGAAUUGGCCUGACCGCCCUUCUCUGGUCUCUGAGAGAGGAAGACAGUCUCUGCAGGCUGCAUGCCUUCCAGAAUCUUCAUUCAACACUGAGGGGAGUGUGCUUCUGAUUGGUGUAUAUUGACUUGGUCUGUGAAAAGGAAGAUAGAAACAAAAAUAUACACAAAACAACCAGUUAAUUUUUUGUUUUUCUUUUUUUUUUUUGAGAUAGAGUCAUGUUCUGUCACCCGGGCUGGAGUGCAGUGGCACAAUCUUGGCUCAACCUCCACCUCUGGGGUUUAAGCAAUUCUCCUGCCUCAGCCUCCUGAGUAGCUGGGAUUACAGGUGCCUGCCACCAUGCCUGGCUAAUUUUUGUAUUUUUAGUAGAGACGGGGUUUCACCAUGUUGGCCAAGCUGAUCUCAAACUCCUGGCCUCAAGUGAUCUGCCCGCCUCAGCCUCCCAAAGUGCUGGGAUUACAGGCAUGAGCCACCACAUCUGGCCACCUGCUUAAUCCUUGUCAUAUAAUCCUGCCCCGUAUCUAUGUAUUUGUUUAGUUGCCAUUUGACACCUGUACCAGGCUGAACAGUGCUCCUCCCUCUCCCUCAAACUCAUGUUCAACUGGAAGCUCAGAGUGUGACCGUUUUUGGAAAUAAAGUCUUUGCAGAUGUAAUAGUUAA